UACGUAGGGUGCAAGCGUUGUCCGGAAUCAUUGGGCGUAAAGAGCGCGUAGGCGGCCAGAUAAGUCCGGUGUGAAAGUCACAGGCUCAACCUGUGAAUGCCGCAGGAAACUGUCUGGCUUGAGUCCGGAAGGGCGAGUGGAAUUCCUGGUGUAGCGGUGAAAUGCGUAGAGAUCGGGAGGAACACCCGUGGCGAAGGCGGCUCACUCGGGCUGACCUUGACGCUGAGGCGCGAAGGCGUGGGGAGCGAACGGGGAUUAAG
rnacentral:rRNA from 1 species